rnacentral:rRNA from 1 species
GACGAACGCUGGCGGCGUGCUUAACACAUGCAAGUCGAACGGAAAGGCCCUGCUUUUGUGGGGUGCUCGAGUGGCGAACGGGUGAGUAACACGUGAGUAACCUGCCCUUGACUUUGGGAUAACUUCAGGAAACUGGGGCUAAUACCGGAUAGGAGCUCCUGCUGCAUGGUGGGGGUUGGAAAGUUUCGGCGGUUGGGGAUGGACUCGCGGCUUAUCAGCUUGUUGGUGGGGUAGUGGCUUACCAAGGCUUUGACGGGUAGCCGGCCUGAGAGGGUGACCGGCCACACUGGGACUGAGAUACGGCCCAGACUCCUACGGGAGGCAGCAGUGGGGAAUAUUGCACCAUGGGCGGAAGCCUGACGCAGCAACGCAGCGUGCGGGAUGACGGCCUUCGGGUUGUAAACCGCUUUCGCAUGUGACGAAGCGUGAGUGACGGUAAUGGGUAAAGAAGCACCGGCUAACUACGUG